ACUAACCAUAAAAUAAAUUGUAUUAUUUCCAUUAUCGAUUGCUAACUGUUAGCACGGUUAUUCAGGCUAAUUGCAGUGGAAGUCUGCCCUCCGGUUUGCCUGAAUAUCACUCCAGCUAGCCUGCCCAUCACUUAGGUUAGUCCGAAUGGAAACGCAGUUUGCUGAAUCUAUUUAGCCUGUUUACAUUUAGCUUUCAAUGAUGGAAAUGGUAACAGUUAAAAAGUUCAAGAGUCUGCAGUCUGCAUUUUACCCUCAGUCUGCAUUUUACCCUCAGUCUGCUAUUUACCUCCAGUCUGCUAUCUGCAUUUUACUCCUGGUCAGCCUCAAUCUGCUAUUUACCCCCAUUCUGCAAUCUGCAUUUUACCCACAGUCUGCAUUUUGCCUCCUGUACACAGUCUACAUUUUACCUUCAGUCUACAAUUUACUGUCAGUCUACAUUUUACCCUCAGUCUGCUAUUUACCCCCAUUCUACAGUUUGCAUUUUACCCUGUCUGCAUUUUGCCCCCUGUAUGCAGUCUACAUUUUACCUUCAGUCUACAUUGAACCCUCAGUUUGCAUUUUACCCCUGGUCCUCAGUCUGCAGUUCGCAGUCUGUGUUUUACACUCUGACUUGUUGUUAUCCUGAUUCAGGUGUUACAUAUUAAAACAUAAUAAAUGUAGAACAGUAAUUUACUGUUCAAGAAUUUAUAUUCUUGACUGUUUUUUUAUGUUUUCUGCAGUUCCAAGCUGUAGUGAUUACUCAGUGAUCCCCUGCCAUGAUACUCAAAGGACAACUCCAGUGUUCCCAGCUGUAGUGAUCCCCUGCAAUCAUACUCAAAGGACAGCUGUAAUGAUGUUUGCCGUCGGAGUAUGGUGCUUACUGUUCCCUUCUACACGAGAAGUAAUUCUUAUUUUGAAGAAGUAAUGGCGUCGACGUUUGGGGAAGAGAAGUCAGUUGACACCCAUAUUUCUACCAAUCGGAGUAAACAACUGAAGACAGGAAAGCCAGGAAAACACAAGGAGAUCAAAAGGAUUCAAGCAGAAAGGAUGAAGAAAAAGUUGAGAAUAGCAUUUGGGAAUUUUGAUAGAUUGAAAUCUCUCCCAUGCGAAAUGGCAGUCUUGAAACUAGGGAAGAUAUAAUCGAGUUCAAAAUCGUUUUGUUUGCUAAAAGUUUUAUUAUUUCUGUCCUCUCCGCUGAAAUAUUUGCUUUGACGUGGCACUUGAUUCGGACGUGAAAAAAUUAAAAUCGGUGAGGAACGCUAA
rnacentral:misc_RNA from 1 species